UACGUAGGUGGCGAGCGUUGUCCGGAUUUACUGGGCGUAAAGAGCGCGCAGGCGGUCGUUCAAGUCGCGUGUGAAAGCCCCCGGCUCAACUGGGGAGGGUCACGCGAUACUGAUCGACUCGAAGGCAGGAGAGGGAAGUGGAAUUCCCGGUGUAGUGGUGAAAUGCGUAGAUAUCGGGAGGAACACCUGUGGCGAAAGCGGCGCACUGGACCACAUCUGACGCUGAGGCGCGAAAGCUAGGGGAGCAAACAGG
rnacentral:rRNA from 1 species